AAAUUGAAGAGUUUGAUCAUGGCUCAGAUUGAACGCUGGCGGCAGGCCUAACACAUGCAAGUCGAACGGUAACAGGAAGCAGCUUGCUGCUUGCUGACGAGUGGCGGACGGGUGAGUAAUGUCUGGGAAACUGCCUGAUGGAGGGGGAUAACUACUGGAAACGGUGGCUAAUACCGCAUAACGUCGCAAGACCAAAGAGGGGGACCUUCGGGCCUCUUGCCAUCAGAUGUGCCCAGAUGGGAUUAGCUUGUUGGUGAGGUAACGGCUCACCAAGGCGACGAUCCCUAGCUGGUCUGAGAGGAUGACCAGCCACACUGGAACUGAGACACGGUCCAGACUCCUACGGGAGGCAGCAGUGGGGAAUAUUGCACAAUGGGCGCAAGCCUGAUGCAGCCAUGCCGCGUGUAUGAAGAAGGCCUUCGGGUUGUAAAGUACUUUCAGCGGGGAGGAAGG
rnacentral:rRNA from 1 species